GCUCUUGGAAACGGGUGGUAAUGCUGGAUGCUCCAACUUGACGCAUGUCUUGUUGGGAAAGUGUUUAGUGGCAUGGGAUGGGGUCGCGUCCUAUCAGCUUGUAGGCGGGGUAAUGGCCCACCUAGGCUUCGACGGGUAGCCGGCCUGAGAGGGCGGACGGCCACAUUGGGACUGAGAUACGGCCCAGACUCCUACGGGAGGCAGCAGGC
rnacentral:rRNA from 1 species